UACGGAAGGCAGCAGUGGGGAAUAUUGCACAAUGGGCGAAAGCCUGAUGCAGCUAUGCCGCGUGUAUGAAGAAGGCCUUAGGGUUGUAAAGUACUUUCAUCGGGGAGGAAAAAACAAAACUAAUAAUUUUAUUUCUUGACGUUACCCGAAAAAGAAGCACCGGCUAACUCCGUGCCAGCAGCCGCGGUAAUACGGAGGGUGCUAGCGUUAAUCAGAAUUACUGGGCGUAAAGAGCACGUAGGUGGUUUUUUAAGUCAGAUGUGAAAUCCCUGGGCUUAACCUGGAACUGCAUUUUGAAACUGAAAUACUAGAGUAUCGUAGAGGGAGGUAGAAUUCUAGGUGUAGCGGUGAAAUGCGUAGAUAUCUGGAGGAAUACCUGUGGCGAAAGCGGCCUCCUAAACGAAUACUGACACUGAGGUGCGAAAGCGUGGGGAGCGAAACAGGGAUUAGGAUACC
rnacentral:rRNA from 1 species